rnacentral:rRNA from 1 species
AUUGAACGCUGGCGGCAUGCUUUACACAUGCAAGUCGAACGGCGGCGCGGGCUUCGGCCUGGCGGCGAGUGGCGAACGGGUGAGUAAUACAUCGGAACGUGCCCAGUAGUGGGGGAUAGCUCGGCGAAAGCCGGAUUAAUACCGCAUACGACAUGAGGGUGAAAGCGGGGGAUCUUCGGACCUCGCGCUAUUGGAGCGGCCGAUGGCAGAUUAGCUAGUUGGUGGGGUAAAGGCCUACCAAGGCGACGAUCUGUAGCUGGUCUGAGAGGACGACCAGCCACACUGGGACUGAGACACGGCCCAGACUCCUACGGGAGGCAGCAGUGGGGAAUUUUGGACAAUGGGCGAAAGCCUGAUCCAGCAAUGCCGCGUGUGUGAUGAAGGCCUUCGGGUUGUAAAGCACUUUUGGCGGGAACGAAAAGGUCUGUGCCAAUACCACGGUUCGAUGACGGUACCCGCAGAAUAAGCACCGGCUAACUACGUG